CUUCCACAACAAUAUAGCCUUCUGCCUUGUCAAAGGCUUCGGCCAAGCUCUUCGGAUGGUGGAACAUCAACUUCUUCACCAACUUCUCGGACUUUACCAGAUCCAGCCCAUUCUGGAACAAACCUACAGCCUGGAGGUCAUUGAGGUCGGACACCUGACCGACUGCUUCUCUGAACCUCUUUACAUACUGGCCCAAAGAUUCGCUGGUAAAUUGCCGGAUCUGUGCCAGAGAACCCGUAGGCUUUCCUCUUCUUCGGUUACUCCCAAAACGGGCAUGAAACUUAUCACAAAGCUCGGUCCAAGAGGAUAUCGAAUCUGACGGCAAAGUUCCCAUCCACUGUCUCGCAUCU
rnacentral:lncRNA from 1 species